rnacentral:rRNA from 1 species
UACGGGGGGGGCAAGCGUUGUUCGGAAUUACUGGGCGUAAAGGGCUCGUAGGCGGCCAACUAAGUCAGACGUGAAAUCCCUCGGCUUAACCGGGGAACUGCAUCUGAUACUGGAUGGCUUGAGAUUGGGAGAGGGAUGCGGAAUUCCAGGUGUAGCGGUGAAAUGCGUAGAUAUCGGGAGGAACACCUGUGGCGAAAGCGGCGCACUGGACCAUAACUGACGCUGAGGCGCGAAAGCUAGGGGAGCAAACAGG